GCGGUAAUACAGAGGGUGCAAGCGUUAAUCGGAAUUACUGGGCGUAAAGCGCGCGUAGGUGGUUCGUUAAGUUGGAUGUGAAAUCCCCGGGCUCAACCUGGGAACUGCAUCCAAAACUGGCGAGCUAGAGUAUGGUAGAGGGUGGUGGAAUUUCCUGUGUAGCGGUGAAAUGCGUAGAUAUAGGAAGGAACACCAGUGGCGAAGGCGACCACCUGGACUGAUACUGACACUGAGGUGCGAAAGCGUGGGGAGCAAACAGGAUUA
rnacentral:rRNA from 1 species